UACGACUCAGUCCUGGCCAGUGUCUGUUAGCUUCCAUUGCUUCUGACCACCAGUUGAGGGGCACGACUUCCACAUUUCGCCUGCUAGCGCUGAUAUCGCGGCUACACUGGCACGAUCAGUCUUUUCCAUAGAGACACAUUCAAAGCAGCGUGGUGCUGAAGUGUUGAACGGAGGGCUGCUAUGCUAACAGAGAUAGCUGUUAACUCCUUCACUGACAAAUGCAAUGUCUUUGUAUAGUAGGCAAUGUGAUCCCCUUUUAAAAACUGCAUGAAAGGCUGUAGAGAGAAAUGCUGUCUAAUCUCAUCUAGAAAUUGAAAGAACACUAUUGGCUGUGCACAGAUGCAGUCAUAUUUUCCCCAAAUCUUGAUGGAUGUUGUCUUUUCUUUAGGCGUCACAUCGAUCAGAGCCCGAAGUCGCAGUCCAGGAGCUUGUCAAACCCUCCAACAAAUAUUUCCAUGGAAGUUGGCGUCACUCGACACUGCAGCCAUGGGAUAGUGAACCAAUCAAAAGUGGAUUGAAGAGUAGCCUUUUCCCCGUAACCCAAUCAGCAUUGUGUAUGCAUGAGCCA
rnacentral:lncRNA from 1 species